UCGCCGGGACUGGCAGGCUCCACAAAGGUGUCAAGGUCGAUUCCAUCUGCAAUGCGGGUGGCUGUGUCGAGGAAGGUCUCCAUGAAAUCUUCGAAUCGAAGCUUCUUGGUGUUGGCGACCUGCAACGUCUUCAGCUUUUCUUCGCGGUCUUCCUUGCAGUGCACCCGGACCAGAGAUAGCGCCACGUCCGCACCACACCGAGCGGCAGACUUCUUCCAUGCCUGCACUCUGCUUGGGACGUCCUCCAGCCGAGUCAUCAACCCA
rnacentral:lncRNA from 1 species